rnacentral:lncRNA from 7 species
GAGCUUGUGAAGCGUGCUCCUGAGGUUUUUUUCGUUUGAAAGGUGGUAUUUUGUGGGAGAUGAUGCUUAACUGCGGGGCGAAAAGUAGGAUCUGGGGAGAAAAUCCACUUCUGGGUCGGAAAGAAUAGGACAUUUUCUCCCCCAAGUACCCUUGUCUCACCGAAACAAGACUCUUUCUCCACUAAAUACCACUGCUCUCCACAAAACAUGACUUCUCGCCUGCCAAAUACAAAGCUGUUUGCUUUCCAAAAAGACGACGUUUCCUUCGCGCGCUCCCUUUUUUCUCCACAACAUGCAAAUUCUCUCUCCAAAACAGGACAGUUUCUCCCCAAGCUACUUUUCUCCAGAACAUAGGGCCCUUCCUUCGCGCAUCAUGCCACAUUUCUCCUGAAAAUAUACAGCUCUUCCUUGCAAAAUACCACUUUUCUCCCAAAGACAUGACCAUUUUUCUUCCCACACCAUACCACUCUUCUCCAAAACUACGAUCUCUCCUCUCAAAAACGCCACUUUUCUCCCAAAAAUACGACCGUUUCUUCCCCUCAGGACCUCUUUUCUCCUCCAUAGAUGAGACUUUCUCGACCCAAAUCUCACUUUCGUCAAGAAAAGAAGGCAUUUUCCCGACCACAAAACCACUCUUCACCCCCAAAUCAGACUUUUCUCCCCAAAACACCACUGUGCUCCCUAAAAGAAGACACUCUCUCCCCCCACAUACCACUGCCACCUUUCAAACGAAAACAAAACGUUUUCUCUCCAAAAUACUACACUUCUUUCGGAAACACGACAUUUUCUCCCCCCCCUCCCAGAAAAAAAAAAACAAAAACCAAAAAACGGCAACCAAAACAACAAACCAAACACUUCUACCCACCAUUGGACUGGCAGGCAUGUGUUGGGCUUGUCUGCUGGUAGAAGGAACAAGGUUAGGCAUAGUUUCUACAGAGAACAACUGCUUCGAUUUCUUUCUAGAUUUGGUCGUAAGUAUCAGAGGAGCGGCAAGAAAGGGCCCUGCCACUGCCCGUCGGUUACUACGCAGCUGUACGUGACAGAGCCCGCUGUGGCUGGAAGUGUAAAGGAUGGCAGUUCAGAAUCCUCUCUUGCCAGCUUGCCGUGCUGCAGUCUUGAGCUUGUGAAGCGUGCUCCUGAGGUCUUCUUUUCGUUUGAAAGGUGGUAUUUUGUGGGAGAUGAUGCUUAACUGCGGGGCGAAAAGUAGGAUCUGGGGGAGAAAAUCCACUUCUGGGUCGGAAAGAAUAGGACAUUUUCUCCCCCAAGUACCCCUUGUCUCACCGAAACAAGACUCUUUCUCCACUAAAUACCACUGCUCUCCACAAAACAUGACUUCUCGCCUGCCAAAUACAAAGCUGUUUGCUUUCCAAAAAGACGACGUUUCCUUCGCGCGCUCCCUUUUUCUCCACAACAUGCAAAUCUC